CUUGGAUCCAAUAAAUAUAUUAUUUUUUCCCCAUUCAGGUAUUGAGACUCAAUUGGUAUAUAGCGUUAGAAAGUAUACGAGUAGAUAGACAAGUUUUGGUUUGAGCGAUUUAUUAAGCAUUAAAAAUCUCAUAUUUUCACAAAUAUGAUUUGCAGAUGUGAAUACAAAUACAUACUAGAAUCAAUGUUGCAAAGUAUUUUUAACAUAUGGUCUUGUUUUAAACAUUUUUAGUGUCAUCAGUGGCACAAUAUUAUAUCAAAUGUAUAUACAAUAUACAUAUUCAGCGGUGUACGCAGGGAGAAGUUAAAGGUUAUGUCCCUUCCCCCACCCAUAUUACCAAUUUCCACAGUCAAGUUGGGUAAAGAAGACGAUUUUACAAUUAGUAUUUUCUACAUCCCCUCCCAUUGAAAACUCUUGU